GCCUGGGUGGCUUAGUCGGUUAAGCAUCUGACUCUUGGUUUGGGCUCAUGAUCUCACAGUUUGUGAGUUCAAGCCCCACUUCGGGCU
rnacentral:tRNA from 1 species